GACGAACGCUGGCGGCGUGCUUAACACAUGCAAGUCGAACGGAAAGGCCCUGCUUUUGUGGGGUGCUCGAGUGGCGAACGGGUGAGUAACACGUGAGUAACCUGCCCUUGACUUUGGGAUAACUUCAGGAAACUGGGGCUAAUACCGGAUAGGAGCUCCUGCUGCAUGGUGGGGGUUGGAAAGUUUCGGCGGUUGGGGAUGGACUCGCGGCUUAUCAGCUUGUUGGUGGGGUAGUGGCUUACCAAGGCUUUGACGGGUAGCCGGCCUGAGAGGGUGACCGGCCAAAUUGGGACUAGGAUACGGCCCAGACUCCUACGGGAGGCAGCAGUGGGGAAUAUUGCACAAUGGGCGGAAGCCUGAUGCAGCAACGCCGCGUGCGGGAUGACGGCCUUCGGGUUGUAAACCGCUUUCGCCUGUGACGAAGCGUGAGUGACGGUAAUGGGUAAAGAAGCACCGGCUAACUACGUG
rnacentral:rRNA from 1 species